UAGGGAAUCUUCGGCAAUGGGGGGAACCCUGACCGAGCAACGCCGCGUGAGUGAAGAAGGUUUUCGGAUCGUAAAGCUCUGUUGUUAAGGAAGAACGAGUGUGAGAAUGGAAAGUUCAUGCUGUGACGGUACUUAACCAGAAAGGGACGGCUAACUACGUGCCAGCAGCCGCGGUAAUACGUAGGUCCCGAGCGUUGUCCGGAUUUAUUGGGCGUAAAGCGAGCGCAGGCGGUUAGAAAAGUCUGAAGUGAAAGGCAGUGGCUCAACCAUUGUAGGCUUUGGAAACUGUUUAACUUGAGUGCAGAAGGGGAGAGUGGAAUUCCAUGUGUAGCGGUGAAAUGCGUAGAUAUUAGGAAGAACACCGGUGGCGAAGGCGACUUUCUGGACGAAAACUGACGCUGAGGCGCGAAAGCGUGGGGAGCAAACAGG
rnacentral:rRNA from 1 species